rnacentral:rRNA from 1 species
ACGCACGCUGGCGGCGUGCUUAACCCCUUCCAGUCGAACGGAAAGGCCCUGCUUUUGUGGGGUGCUCGAGUGGCGAACGGGUGAGUAACACGUGAGUAACCUGCCCUUGACUUUGGGAUAACUUCAGGAAACUGGGGCUAAUACCGGAUAGGAGCUCCUGCUGCAUGGUGGGGGUUGGAAAGUUUCGGCGGUUGGGGAUGGACUCGCGGCUUAUCAGCUUGUUGGUUGGGUAGUGGCUUACCAAGGCUUUGACGGGUAGCCGGCCUGAGAGGGUGACCGGCCACAAUGGGACUGAGAUACGGACCAGACUCCUACGGGAGGCAGCAGUGGGAAAUAUUGCACAAUGGGCGGAAGCCUGACGCAGCAACGCCGCGUGCGGGAUGACGGCCUUCGGGUUGUAAACCGCUUUCGCCUGUGACGAAGCGGGAGUGACGGUAAUGAGUAAAGAAGCACCGGCUAACUACGUG